rnacentral:rRNA from 1 species
GAUGAACGCUGGCGGCGUGCCUAAUACAUGCAAGUCGAGCGAACAGAUGAGGAGCUUGCUCCUCUGACGUUAGCGGCGGACGGGUGAGUAACACGUGGAUAACCUACCUAUAAGACUGGGAUAACUUCGGGAAACCGGAGCUAAUACCGGAUAAUAUAUUGAACCGCAUGGUUCAAUAGUGAAAGACGGUUUUGCUGUCACUUAUAGAUGGAUCCGCGCCGCAUUAGCUAGUUGGUAAGGUAACGGCUUACCAAGGCAACGAUGCGUAGCCGACCUGAGAGGGGGAUCGGCCACACGGGAACUGAGACCCGGCCCAGACUCCCACGGGAGGCAGGAGUAGGGAAUUUUCCGAAAUGGGCGAAAGCCUGACGGAGCAACGCCGCGGGAGGAAUAAAGGUCUUCGGAUCGUAAAACUCUUUUAUUAGGGAAAAAAAAAUGUGUAAGUAACUAUGCACGUCUUGACGGUACCUAAUCAGAAAGCCACGGCUAAAUACGG